CCCCCCCCUCCCUCAUUUUGCAGGAUGCAGUUUUAGCAGUUGAAGCUAUAAAUGUUGCAGGUGACAUCAUGUUGUGCUUUGUGCUUUGUGCAUGUACCCCUUCUGUUUUGUCCAUAGACAAAGCGACUGGUACACUAAGCUUUUGCUAUACGCGGGUUCAGAAAAGGGUAGGACUACAAGGGUCAAUUGUACGCAACUUUUAACAAGAAGUAAGUUACUCAUAAGCUAUUGAUGUUA